UAUAAUUCUAGGGUUUUUCGCUCUCGCGCUCUGCAACCUAAACCCCCCAUUUUCAAAUCUCAGUUCUUCGUCUUCCAAUACAUCCAGAUAGGUUAUUUAUAUGUACUAGCAUAUCCGGUAGCUUCGUUAGUUAAUGUUCAAUCUCUGAGAAUUUGAUUAUAUCAUUAGGGCUGAGAGAGAGAAUGAGUACAGCAGUGCGAACCCCGAAAACUGGAAGACAAUCACUGUUCUUCCAGGAUUUAGCUACACCUAUUUCUUCCCGGAAAUCUGGGUCGAAAUUCAAUACACCAGGUCAGGCAGCAGCUGUUUCUGCUUUAUGGCGUGAGAAUUUUGCCAGUUCAGAUCUGCCACCACCGCCUGUAUUUACCCUUGAAGAUCGAUCGGAUGUCUCUCCGGAAUCGGGGAUUCCUGAAUAUAUUACUUCGCCAGAAAUCAAGUCGGACCCUAGAACGCCGGUGCUUAAUUCAGGACGGGAAUUUUCAACACCUAAGAGUAAGUCUGAGGCAAGUACUUCAUAUGCACUGAUGGGUAAGCAGCAGCAACAGAGUAAACAAAGCCCCUUGCCAAGUUUGACAUGGUGGUCACCUGCAAAGGGUAGUGGUAGUGCUGAGCAGGAUGACAAGGACAAAGGUUCGCCAGUAGAAGGCGUCGUACAUCCUGGUGCUUUGAUAACCUUACCUCCACCAAGGGAAGUUGCAAGGCCAGAG
rnacentral:misc_RNA from 1 species